GAUAAACGCUGACAGAAUGCUUAACACAUGCAAGUCGAUGAUGGGAGCUAGCUUGCUAGAAGAAGUCAUGGCGGACGGGUGAGUAACGUGUAAAGAACUUACCAUAUAGACUGGGAUAACAGAGGGAAACUUCUGAUAAUACUGGAUAAGUUAGUAGUAGCAUUACUAAGUAAUGAAAGGUAGCAAUACGCUAUAUGAGAGCUUUGCAUCCUAUUAGCUAGUUGGUGGGGUAAAAGCCUACCAAGGCGAUGAUAGGUAGCCGGCCUGAGAGGGUGGACGGCCACAAGGGGACUGAGAUACGGCCCUUACUCCUACGGGAGGCAGCAGUGGGGAAUAUUGGACAAUGGAGGCAACUCUGAUCCAGCAAUUCUGUGUGUGUGAAGAAGGUUUUAGGACUGUAAAACACUUUUAGUAGGGAAGAAAAAAUGACGGUACCUACAGAAGAAGCGACGGCUAAAUACGUGCCAGCAGCCGCGGUAAUACGUAUGUCGCGAGCGUUAUCCGGAAUUAUUGGGCUUAAAGGGCAUCUAGGCGGUUAAACAAGUUGAAGGUGAAAACCUGUGGCUCAACCAUAGGCUUGCCUACAAAACUGUAUAACUAGAGUACUGGAAAGGUGGGUGGAACUACACGAGUAGAGGUGAAAUUCGUAGAUAUGUGUAGGAAUGCCGAUGAUGAAGAUAACUCACUGGACAGCAACUGACGCUGAAGUGCGAAAGCUAGGGGAGCAAACAGG
rnacentral:rRNA from 1 species